UUUCCGUAGGUGAACCUGCGGAAGGAUCAUUAUUGUAUAACCAAGGUGCUAGGGCUGUCGCUGACCCGAUAGGUCUUGCACGCGCGAGUGCCCUCACACACAUCCAUCUCUCCCCGGUGUGCACCACCGCGUGAGUCCCCCUUUGGCGUGUACGUAGGGAGUCUUACGAUUCUUUCCACACUUUGUAUGCAGUGUAGGAUGUCUUUGUUGUUUUUGCGAGCACGCAAUCAAUCAAACUUUCAACAACGGAACGCUUGGUUAUCUCAUCGGCGAAGAACC
rnacentral:misc_RNA from 1 species